rnacentral:rRNA from 1 species
UAAGGAAUAUUGGUCAAUGGACGCAAGUCUGAACCAGCCAUGCCGCGUGGAGGAUGAAGGUCCUCUGGAUUGUAAACUUCUUUUAUCUGGGACGAAACACUUCUUUUCUAAGAGGCCUGACGGUACCAGAUGAAUAAGCCCCGGCUAACUACGUGCCAGCAGCCGCGGUAAUACGUAGGGGGCAAGCGUUGUCCGGAUUUACUGGGUGUAAAGGGCGCGCAGGCGGGAUAAAAAGUCAGUGGUGAAAUCCUACAGCUUAACUGUAGAACUGCCUUUGAUACUUUUAUUCUUGAGUUCGGGAGAGAGAGACGGAAUUCCGGGUGUAGUGGUGAAAUACGUAGAUAUCUGGAAGAACACCAGUUGCGAAGGCGGUCUCUUGGUCCGACACUGACGCUGAGGCGCGAAAGCGUGGGGAGCAAACA